rnacentral:rRNA from 1 species
CCUACGGGAGGCAGCAGUGGGGAAUAUUGGGCAAUGGGCGCAAGCCUGACCCAGCAACGCCGCGUGAAGGAAGAAGGCCCUCGGGUUGUAAACUUCUUUUAUUCGGGACGAAACAAAUGACGGUACCGAAUGACUAAGCCACGGCUAACUACGUGCCAGCAGCCGCGGUAAUACGUAGGUGGCAAGCGUUAUCCGGAUAUACUGGGUGUAAAGGGCGUGUAGGCGGGAGAGCAAGUCAGACGUGAAAUUCCAGGGCUCAACCCUGGAACUGGGUUUGAAACUGUUCUUCUUGAGUGAUGGAGAGGCAGGCAGGAUUCCGUGUGUAGCGGUGAAGUGCGUAGAUGUACGGAGGAACGACAGUGGCGAAGGCGGCCUGCGGGACAUUAACUGACGCUGAGGCGCGAAAGCGUGGGGAGCAAGCAAGAUUAGAUACCCGGGUAGUC